GUGCGCGGUGACUGGCGGCUGCACUGGCGGCAGCUGGAGGUGUAAUAGUGCGGGUAGUGGGUUUGGAGAAGUUCCGAGGUGGCGGUGGCGCCGGUCAGGACAAGGAUAGCGGAAGCGGGCCCUGGGCUUGUCGCUCACCAUGCCGACGGUGGAGGAGCUUUACCGCAAUUAUGGCAUCCUGGCCGAUGCCACGGAGCAAGUGGGCCAGCAUAAAGAUGCCUAUCAAGUGAUAUUGGAUGGUGUGAAAGGUGGUACUAAGGAAAAACGAUUAGCAGCUCAAUUUAUUCCGAAAUUCUUUAAGCAUUUUCCAGAAUUGGCCGAUUCUGCUAUCAAUGCACAGUUAGACCUCUGUGAGGAUGAAGAUGUAUCUGUAAGUUUAUGAAUGACACUUUAUAGCAAUCUUUCAGAUGUUUCUGUGUGUGGCUAAUACAAUUGGAGUAGCAAUCUGAUAUGUCAGAGUACACAAUAAAAUACUACAGUAUGGUCUGGCAUGGCAUCACACCCAGGCUUAAAUUUACAUAUGAUAAAGUGUAUUAGCCUUUUUCAACACCUU
rnacentral:sRNA from 1 species